rnacentral:rRNA from 1 species
UUACUAUAGCUUGACACUGAACAUUGAGCCUUGAUGUGUAGGAUAGGUGGGAGGCUUUGAAGCGUGGACGCCAGUCUGCGUGGAGCCGACCUUGAAAUACCACCCUUUAAUGUUUGAUGUUCUAACGUGGACCCGUGAUCCGGGUUGCGGACAGUGUCUGGUGGGUAGUUUGACUGGGGCGGUCUCCUCCUAAAGAGUAACGGAGGAGCACGAAGGUUGGCUAAUCCUGGUCGGACAUCAGGAGGUUAGUGCAAUGGCAUAAGCCAGCUUGACUGCGAGCGUGACGGCGCGAGCAGGUGCGAAAGCAGGUCAUAGUGAUCCGGUGGUUCUGAAUGGAAGGGCCAUCGCUCAACGGAUAAAAGGUACUCCGGGGAUAACAGGCUGAUACCGCCCAAGAGUUCAUAUCGACGGCGGUGUUUGGCACCUCGAUGUCGGCUCAUCACAUCCUGGGGCUGAAGUAGGUCCCAAGGGUAUGGCUGUUCGCCAUUUAAAGUGGUACGCGAGCUGGGUUUAGAACGUCGUGAGACAGUUCGGUCCCUAUCUGCCGUGGGCGCUGGAGAACUGAGGGGGGCUGCUCCUAGUACGAGAGGACCGGAGUGGACGCAUCACUGGUGUUCGGGUUGUCAUGCCAAUGGCACUGCCCGGUAGCUAAAUGCGGAAGAGAUAAGUGCUGAAAGCAUCUAAGCACGAAACUUGCCCCGA